rnacentral:rRNA from 1 species
UACGUAGGGGGCAAGCGUUGUCCGGAAUCACUGGGCGUAAAGAGCGUGUAGGCGGCUUUACAGGUCCGUUGUGAAAACUCGAGGCUCAACCUCGAGACGCCGGUGGAAACCGUAAAGCUAGAGUCCGGAAGAGGAGAGUGGAAUUCCUGGUGUAGCGGUGAAAUGCGCAGAUAUCAGGAGGAACACCCGUGGCGAAAGCGGCUCUCUGGGACGGUACUGACGCUGAGACGCGAAAGCGUGGGGAGCAAACAGG